CAGCCGCCGCGGUAAUACGGAGGGUGCAAGCGUUAAUCGGAAUUACUGGGCGUAAAGCGUGCGUAGGUGGUGGUUUAAGUCCGUUGUGAAAGCCCUGGGCUCAACCUGGGAAUUGCAGUGGAUACUGGGUCACUAGAGUGUGGUAGAGGAUAGUGGAAUUUCCGGUGUAGCAGUGAAAUGCGUAGAGAUCGGAAGGAACAUCUGUGGCGAAGGCGACUAUCUGGGCCAACACUGACACUGAGGCACGAAAGCGUGGGGAGCAAACAGGAUUAGAUACCCCGGUAGUCCCUGUCUCUUAUAC
rnacentral:rRNA from 1 species